rnacentral:tRNA from 1 species
GGCCCCAUCGUCUAUCGGCAGGACGCCACGCUUUCAAUGUGGUAAGCCGGGUUCGACUCCCGGUGGGGCCG